UACGUAGGAGGCAAGCGUUGUCCGGAGUUACUGGGCGUAAAGCGCACGCAGGCGGUCUUGUCAGUCUGUAGGGACAGGGCACAGCUCAACUGUGUCAGGCUUACGGAAACUGCAAGACUUGAGGGCUUCAGAGGGAUGGGGAAUUCCGGGUGGAGUGGUGAAAUGCGUAGAGAUCCGGAAGAACACCAAAGGCGAAGGCACCAUCCUGGGGAGUCACUGACGCUGAGGAGCGAAAGCGUGGGGAGCGAACAGG
rnacentral:rRNA from 1 species